CAACAAAAUGUGGGAAAAGUCAAGGGGUCUGACUACUUUCUGAACACACUGUACAUAUAAUGAUAUAUGGAAAUCACUGUCAUUUUUUAAUGCUACAUUUAAUGUCAUUCAUAAGAUCCCUCCGAUCCUUCACGUGUCUGUAGGCCUAUGUAGCAAUAGUAAUAGUCUUGUAUUUAAUGGUAUAUCGAAACCAUUGUCAUCUUAAAAUGGCAGUUUAAUCUAUUCCACAAGACCCCUCAGAUCCAUGGUAAUGGCCUUGUAUUGGAUGACAUAUGGCGAUCAUAGGAAUCGUCACUGCAGGGCAGUUUUGACCAUUGACACCAAUCAUAAGCCCCUCACUGUUCCCCACAUUACCAGCAAGCCAAACGACAGGCAUCCAUCUUAGAUCUUACAGUGGUGCUUUUGGAAUGGUCUGACUCUCCCAGUGGUUGGUAUACCAACAUUAGGCUAACAUUAUGCGUAUGCCUGCAGGCCAUGGGCCAGUGCAGUAAUGAAGAGAGGGUCAUGGUUGCCUGCCUCAUGAUGUAUAAAUUGUUCAUGUGCCCAGCGUCUCUCUCCCCUCCAUCAGACUAUUACAGCUGAGACCAGUGUUCCCUGCUACUGUACUGCUACUGCUCUGCUCUGUUCUUACCAGCCUCGCUAGGACACUGGAAUCUCAUGAAUACAAAUGCUGUUAAAUGGCAGCCCCCUAGACAUUACCUGUGUGUGUGUGUGUGUGUCUGUGUGUAUAAAUAUAUAUACAGUGGGGAGAACAAGUAUUUGAUACACUGACGAUUUUGCAGGUUUUCCUACUUACAAAAUAUGCAGAGGUCUACAUGCAAGCAGACACUUCUAUUUUCAUUCUAACAAUAGAAAUAAACACAUUGCCAAAGUGCAUAAUAUAAUAAUCAUGUAUAAUUGCACAAUAGUUUGGACAGACAUGCAGGACUAGAUGCAGAAAUAUCUGUUUAUCCUUGUGAUUGCAUUUCUCUACAUUGUCUGAUGGCAGCGUCCUUUCUGGCCCUGUGAGUGUCAGGCACUUCUAAAUCUAUGAGUCAGUCAAUGUCUGCCUCCAGUCCCAUCGCUCUCUGUGGUUCAAGGCCAACGGCUGGGGUUUAAUCAGGUGAAACGUGUAAGGGCAAUUAGGAGCACACUGUGUCAAUGUGUCAGUGUCUGACUGUGUGUGUUGCAGGGAGUGUGUGUGUGUGUUGCAGGGAGUGUGUGUGUGGGAUAUCCUACCACAAACAACAGAUAAACAUGUUCUGCCUCAUUGCAACCACACACUUCUCCUUUAACCGUAACUAUAAUAAGGUCAAAUAAAACCAGAUGCAGCUCAUUCCACCUCUCCCAUUAAAUCAUCUAGCAGUGUCAGUGUCAGUGUCACGAUCGUCGUAGUGAGGAGACCAAGGCGCAGAGUGAUUAGAAUACAUUCUUCCUUUUAAUAAUGAAGAACACUUAACAAACAAUACAAAAUAACAAAACGAACGUGACCGCUAUAACACUGAGUGCAAACAUGCAACAUCACAUAGACAUACCCUAGACAAGACAAAAACACACAUACCACCCUCGUCACACCCUGACCUAACCAAAAUAAUAAAGAAAACAAAGAUAACUAAGGUCAGGGCGUGACAGUCAGACUGUAUCUGCCCAUAUGUGUGUAUGUGCGUGUGUGUGUGCUUUACAAUAUCACAACAUAAAUAUAAAUGAAAUAAAUAAAUAUUCACACUCUUGCUUUGCUUUUGACCCAUGGGUAAGCCCAAUAUACAGUGCAUUCGAAAAGUAUUCAGACUCCUUGAAUUUUUCCACAUUUUGUUACGUUACAACCGUAUUCUAAAAUGUAUUAAAUCAUUUCCCCCCUCAUCAAUCUACCUACAAUACCCCAUAAUGACAACGCAAAAACAGGUCUCCCAGUCCCUGAUGCUGAAAAACAUCCCCCAUGAUGCUGCCACCACCAUGCUUCACCGUAGGGAUGGUGCCAGGUUUCCUCCCAACUUUACCCUUGGCAUUCAGAACAAAGAGUUCAAUCUUGGUUUCAUCAGACCAGAGAAUCUUGUUUCUCAUGGUCUGAGAGUCUUUAGGUGCCUUUUGGCAAACUCCAAGCAGUCUGUCAUGUGCCUUUUACUGAGGAGUGGCUUCCGUCUGGCCACUCUACCAUAAAAGCCUGAUUGGUGGAGUGCUGCAGAGAUGCUUGGAAGGUUCUCCCAUUUUCACAGAGGAACUGUUGGGGUAGGUUCCUUGUUCCUUGUCAAUCAUUUGCUUAUUGGUGAAAUCAGCAAUCAUACAAUAUCUUUAAGUAAAUCAAUUAAACCUUUAUUAAUGCAAUUGCAGACAGAAGUUGACAACGGGAACAUAGCACACAUGUUUCCGAGUAAGUUCUGCCAAAUAGGAAAGGGUCCUAGUUGCUUUAUUAUGCUUGCAGUCAACCCGUAGUGAUGUCACUGCCUACGUCAUCACCUUCUACUCAUGAGACCAAGCCCAUGCAUAUACAGUUAUACAAACAAUAGUUCCAGCUUUAUAGUGGUAUGUCUGACUAGUUUCUUAUCUCUUUCACUCCCCUGCAGGGUUCUGUGUCUAUGAAUCUAUUUUAGCCUUGAGGCGCUUUCUCACAGACACCCUGUUUUGAUUGCAAUAACUCACACAUCUCUCAGACCAUUUCUUUAUAAGAGGCAGAGACUAGAAAAGAACUGUGGAACAAUAUUAAACCUUAUAAUGCAUAUAUAUAUAGUUAAUCUGUGGUCCAGGACCCUAUAAAUGUAGUGAGGGAGGGUCUUAUAGCCCUCCCCUUCUAUUAAUAAAACAUAAGCAUAAUCAAUUAUUAUAAUACAUCAAUCAUUUGGUGCAGCCCCCUAUCAUGACCCCAAGGUGAAUCCCAUCAGAACUCUAGAGCUAUGUCAGAGUGACAAUCGGGUUCUUGGUGACCUCCCUGACUAAGACCCUUCUCCCCCACUUGCUCAGUUUGGCUGGGCGGCCAGCUCUAGGAAGUGUCUUGGUGGUUUCAAACUUCUUCCAGUUAACAAUGAUGGAUGCCACUGUGUUCUUGGGGACCUUCAAUGCUGCAGAAAGUUUUUGGUACCUUCCCCAGAUCUGUGCCUCGGCACAAACCUGUCUCGGAGCUCUACGGACAAUUCCCUUGACCUCAUGGCUUGGUUUUUGCUCUGACAUCCACUGUGGGACCUUAUAUAGACAGGUGUUUGCCUUUCCAAAUCAUGACAAAUCAUUUGAAUUGACCACAGGUGGACUCCAAUCAAGUUGUAGAACAUCUCAAGGGUGAUCAAUGGAAACAGGAUGCACCUGAGCACAAUUUUGAGUGUCAUAGCAAAAGGUCUGAAUACUUAUGUAAAUAUGGUAUUUCAGUUUUUUAUUUUUAAGACGUUUGCAAAAAAUUCAAAAAAUCUGUUUUCGCUUUGUCAUUAUGGGGUAUUGUGUGUAGAUUGCUGAGGAAGAUUUUUUAUUUAAUCCAUUUUAGAAUAAGGCUGUAACAAAAUGUCAAGGGGUCUGAAUACUUUCCGAAGACACUGUAAGACAUCUAACAGCGUUUGUUUCCAGCGUUUGACUAUAUGUUACAUUUGAGUCAUAUAGCAGACACUCUUAUCCAGAACGACUUACAGGAGCGAUAAGUGUUAAGUGCCUUGCUCAAGGGCACAUGGACCAGAUUUUUCACCUAGUCGGCUUGGGUAUUCGAACCAGCGACAUUUCGGUUACUGGCCCAAUGCUCUAACCGCUAGGCUACCUGCUGCACAGACGCCAUAAUGGGACAGAUGCAAUGUUGAGAUCUCUAUACAUAUUAUGCACCUUGCAUUGAUGACACAGUAUUCUGCUAACAGGACCCUUGUUAGACUGGCCCACUUCAUUUCUAGCCCGUAUAUAAAGAGUUUCUCCAUUCUGACAUGUCUUUGUCUCUCCACUUACUUUGUACCUUCUCUCUCGACUAUCUCUGACCCCUCUCUCUCUUUCUUCUAACGUGGCCCCCACUCUCUCUUUCUUUCUCUCCCUCUUUCUCUAUACUCAGCUGGUGGGCCAGCCAGGAGGCAUGGCGUGCGUUAGAAGAGCGUAAUCUGUUCUUUCUCCCCUCCAUUUCCAUUUUAAUCCCUCGUUCACAGCUGGAACCAGGGUGCUUUGCAUGCAGAUGAGCCGAGGAGUUGACUCUCUUGGAAAGCAGAAGCAGACACAAGGAGGGGCACGAGAUGAAGAGGAGGAUGAAGAGAAAGACGAGGAGGAGAGGCCUGAGGGUAGAGUGCAGAAGCGAAGCAGGAUUUGGAUUGGUGCAGUCGUGAUAAAGGUCCAAACUAUCCCGGAGGCGUGUAAGAUACUGUAUAACCACAACAUGACCAUACAAGAUGACCUACUGUAUGACACCCCCAUUGGACCACGGUCUGACUGUAGACCCACAGCCUGUGACUAACCUAAGGGAGGAUCACUCAGCUCUCUUCCAGGCAGUGAUACUGUCUACUAUGAAUCACAUUAACCAGAAGCCCUCUAAUACUGUUAAUGUGCUCAGAAUUGAAACAAGAGCACAACGUGAUCAGCUGUACCAACCUGUACCAACUCCCUGUCAGGUACUCUCAGAAGAAAAGAGUGCUAUGUAGAACCACUUGUCCCUGUAGGAGAACCCUCUGAAAAAAGGUUCUAGAUAGAACCCUUUCAGUUCAGAUAAAAAACAUUUUUGGUUCCAAAUAGCAUCCUUUCAAAGAUUUUAUUUAUAUUCUCUCUGUGUCCUAGUAUUCUGGUAUCCCCAGUUCCCCGCGGAAUAGAAAGCUGUACAUAAAAGGUGUCAGGUCCCAUUGGUGUAUAGCAGAAGCUACAUAGACUAUAGUAUUACACAAGUUCAAACCAAAGGUGAACCACAGCAGUGAGUAAGGCAGUCACCCAAGCUGACCACCUCUGUAUAGUGAGGGGCUUAGAAAGGGGUCAGAGAGAGGUUGUGCACCAGAAUGCUAUCCUCUUCUCUCCCGUCCUGCAGGAGUCCAUUAGGUAAUGACAUAGUAAAUCACUAGGUUACCUACUACUCCCCUUCACCCUGACAUAAGCUCAGCUCAGCACAAGCAUUUCGUAACACUCGCAUUAACAUCUGCUAACCAUGUGUAUGUGACCAAUAAAAUGUGAUUUGAUUUUAAACUACA